GCUCCCUGAACUGAAUGUCGUAGGGGUUUUAGACAUGUUCUCUGCAGCCACCUUAUCCCAGUUCCGCUUCUGCCUCAGAUACCUUCUGACUAUGGGCCCUCCUCCAGGGCAGGGAUAGAUUAAAUAAAAGUCUGCUGGCCUGGGGCCCAUUACAAAACCCAGAACAUAAAAAACUACUUCCCGAUGAAUACCUAGCACGGAGCAAGAGAGAGGGAUCCUGACAGAAGAACCCAGGAAAAGGCUUGCCUGGAAGCACAGAAGCAGGAGGACUGAGGGAGGGCCUCGAACCCAGUCCAGUACCUGAGGGAGUCCGAGAAGGCCUCGACACCAUACUUGGAGAUGCAGUAGCCACCACCAAGCAGAGACACCCGGCCCAUGACGCUGGAGACGUUGACCACGCGGCCCCGCGCCUUCCUCACUAGGGGCAGCAGGCUCAGGGUCACCUCGAUCACCCCCAGCAGGUUCACGUUGAGGAUCUUCAUGAAGUCCUGUUUGGUCAGCCACUCAUUGGGUGCCACAGGCACGGCAAUGCCAGCGUUAUUCACCAGGCCCCACAGUCCUGGACACAGCAGGGGUGAGAGAGCAACACUGCAUUGUGAGGACACAGCUGUGGUUCUAAUUCACCUUCCAAUCACGUGAGGACUUUAUGAGAGAGGUUGCAUGGGGAGUGAGUAGAACAGAUAACACCAUGCUUUUGGUAGGGUUUGGGGAGUGCAGACGCCAUGUGUUGUUGGAGGACAGAAAGCGUGCCUCUGUCCUGACUUAUUCUGCCUGGCCCAAUCACUGCCUGGUGGACAAUGGGCCAUCACCCCACAGUUAAUGAAGGCAGGGAGUGAUGUUGAGGUAUCUAGUGUGUCCAUAGUCUGGAACACGGACAGUAAUGUUUUGGGUUUUCACACAUCAAUGUUGUCCUGCAGGCAUUAUAAACGCUCACCUACAUUUUCAGAGUUCCCGGACAGCGCCUUUCGUGAGUGUGCAACAAAUAUCUGUGGGGGAGUAGAGAGACACACAGAGAGAGAAUGAGGAAGGGUGGGGAGAGAGGAAGAAAAAGGCAAAAGGACUCAAGGACGCGAUUCUGAGCACAGACACUAAAGAGCUACCCACCAACAGCCCUCGGGGCAGCAGGAGCAGGCAUUCGGGGUAGUUGUGGCCACGGAGGGCACAAGAUGGAGCCAGACAGCUGAGUCCCUCCCCUGCUCAGAAACAGGCUGCCCUUCCAGGACACGCAUUCUCCCAGCAGACAUGCUGCUUCUAAGAACCCAGUCAACAUGCACGGUUACACAGAGAGAUUUGGGAAAGUUCACCGGGACACGAGUCGCGAAUGUGAAUAAAAUGGAGGAAACGAUUUCAUAUCAUACAUGAGGUACUGUUCUAAAAAGUAAUACUAUUCAAAGGGAUAGAUUAU
rnacentral:lncRNA from 1 species